GAUGAACGCUGGCGGCGUGCCUAAUACAUGCAAGUCGAGCGAACAGAUGAGGAGCUUGCUCCUCUGACGUUAGCGGCGGGCGGGUGAGUAACACGUGGAUAACCUACCUAUAAGACUGGGAUAACUUCGGGAAACCGGAGCUAAUACCGGAUAAUAUAUUGAACCGCAUGGUUCAAUAGUGAAAGACGGUUUUGCUGUCACUUAUAGAUGGAUCCGAGCCGCAUUAGCUAGUUGGUAAGGUAACGGCUUACCAAGGCAACGAUGCGUAGCCGACCUGAGAGGGGGAUCGGCCACACUGGAACUGAGCCACGGUCCAGGCUCCUACGGGAGGCAGAAGUAGGGAAUCUUCCGCAAUGGGCGAAAGCCUGACGGAGCAACGCCGCGUGAGUGAUGAAGGUCUUCGGAUCGUAAAACGCUGUUAUUAGGGAAGAACAAAUGUGUAAGUAACUAUGCACGUCUUGACGGUACCGAAUCAGAAAGCCACGGCUAACUACGU
rnacentral:rRNA from 1 species